GUAAGCCUUCAAUUUUGACCCAUUAAACUAAACUUUCUGUAGUCAUUAUUUAUUCAACUAUUGUAGUCACAUAUUUUUUAACUCUUGCAGUCAUUUGGUACAAGAAUCAAGAGAUUCAAAACAAAAGCUUUUCCUCUCUAUGAUUCACUUGGACAACUUUAUGAAGGGAGCAUAGCUGAAGGCAAUUUUAACUUCACUUCAACCUCAACUACAUCAAGGGAGGAUCUGACACAAGUAAUAAGUGAUGACGAUGAACCUGAAGGAGAUACCGAGGCUGAUAUACCUGAGAGAGAAAGUGAAGAUGAAUACGAAGUUAUGGAUCCAGCUCCAAGUGCUCAGAGUAUGACUCAGGUGGAACACCAAGUGAAAGGAAAAAGGGUUGCUGCUGCAAGGAACAAGCUUCCAAAGAUACCAAAGAGGAGUCCUAAGAAGAGGAAUUCCGAUGGAAUUGUGCAAGUGAUGGAGAGGAUGGUGCAAGUGCGUGAAAAGGAAGUCAAUCAAGAACAACCUCUACAGAAGUUCUCUAUUACCAGAUGCAUGGAUGCACUGAAAACAUUGGAUGGUAUGACAGGUUCUAUUAAAAUCCCUGCAUUGGAUGUCUUCAGGAUUGCCGACAAUCGUGAAAUAUUUCUCAACCUUGUUGAUGAUAAAGAUGAUAAAGAUGGCACCGCCAUGACGUGGCUCCUUGGGCAGAUAGCCAAGUUACCAUGAGGCUACGGAUCGAUGAGCAACUUAGAGAAGACUUGUGUUCAUGCUAGCUGGCCUUUUGCAGUUCUUGAAGUGUGGAUUCAUGUCAUUUGCUGAUAAGAUAUUUGUUGUUAAAACUCAGCUGAAACAAGAAAGAUAAUUUAUUGUUUAGCAAAUCUUUAGCUUCAGGACAUGGCAUGUGCGUUUGGUAGACAGAGUUUAACAUCAUGUCAAAGUGUCAUAUUUCUUGAGUUUUGUCUUGUUUUAGUGUGCCCACAGAUCAGUUAUGUCCCGUUGUUGACAAGCUCGUAUUUUUAUUGUUCAAUACAAUCAUGGUUUAUUGAA